rnacentral:rRNA from 1 species
GAUGAACGCUGACAGAAUGCUUAACACAUGCAAGUCAACUUGAAUUUGGGUUUUUAACUUAGGUUUGGGUGGCGGACGGGUGAGUAACGCGUAAAGAACUUGCCUCACAGCUAGGGACAACAUUUGGAAACGAAUGCUAAUACCUAAUAUUAUGAUAAUAGGGCAUCCUAUAAUUAUGAAAGCUAUAAGCGCUGUGAGAGAGCUUUGCGUCCCAUUAGCUAGUUGGAGAGGUAACGGCUCACCAAGGCAAUGAUGGGUAGCCGGCCUGAGAGGGUGAUCGGCCACAAGGGGACUGAGACACGGCCCUUACUCCUACGGGAGGCAGCAGUGGGGAAUAUUGGACAAUGGACCAAGAGUCUGAUCCAGCAAUUCUGUGUGCACGAUGAAGUUUUUCGGAAUGUAAAGUGCUUUCAGUUGGGAAGAAAGAAAUGACGGUACCAACAGAAGAAGUGACGGCUAAAUACGUG